UGGAGCAAAUCCCUAAAAGACCAUCCCAGUUCGGAUCGCAGGCUGCAACCCGCCUGCGUGAAGUUGGAAUCGCUAGUAAUCGCGGAUCAGCAUGCCGCGGUGAAUACGUUCCCGGGCCUUGUACACACCGCCCGUCACACCAUGAGAGUUGGGAAUACCCGAAGCCUGUGAGCUAACUUAUAGAGGCAGCAGUCGAAGGUAGAAUCAAUGAUUGGGGUGAAGUCGUAACAAGGUAAC
rnacentral:rRNA from 1 species